rnacentral:miRNA from 1 species
CGGGGCAGCUCAGUACAGGAUA